AUGACAGGAACAGCUUUCCUCUACUCAGGCCCAUCUACCAUGCAACUGUUUUUGCCUCAGAGCUGCCCACCAUAGGCUACAGUUUCUGAACUUAAAAGUACAUUUAUUGUCUGAGAAGAGGCGUCACAAGUUGGCGUUAGUAAAAUUUCCAUCAUCUAUGGGGUGACUUUCUGUUUAUACAGUCUCAAAAUUUCAUUUUAUGAAGCUAUCAAAAAAUAAUACAUUUUGUAGCAACAAAUCCCCAUAAACUGCAUUUCAGAGUGAUGCAACAAGAAUGCCGAUAUCAAGGAAAAGAACACCGAUACCAUGGUUUAUUGUGAGAUAUAUAACUACAGCAACCAAAUGGGGUAGGGAAGCAUUACCAGUGUACCUCCUCUCAACCACAAUUAGAGCAUCAGUUGCUGGGGGAUAUUGAAAUGAGAAGCACUGGAGGAACUGGAAGUGCAGUGGCCUGAAGAUAAAAUCAGUUCACAAGUUCAAAUGAGAGUGGCGACGGUCUGUCCAGUGGGUAGGAAUGGGAGCUACUCGAAAUUCCCAAAUCCUUCAGUGGAGAUGACAGUUGUACUUCUACAGCUCUGUUUUUAAAACAUUCUUCCAUGACAGAUGUGGAGACUAGGUGCUGAAACUUCUGGUAAAGCUGAGAAUAGAAAAGUUCUGAGAUGUCAUAAAUUUACUGACAAAGGCUGGAAGGUGGAAAAGAGAAAUGGGGGAAAUCAACCAGCUGACAGCUAUGGGCUGAAGAACACAAAACACUUUUUCACAUUUUUAAAGAAGACCUGAAACCUGAACUCAAAUUCCAUCAUGACCACUGGGCACCAUCACAUCCUCCGACAGCCCCAGACAGUCCAGAAGCCAUCAUUAUUUCUGUCUGUGAACUGUUUUCCUAACCCAAAGCUUUCCUUGCUCUGCAUUAUCCUAGCUCUUUCAUCCAUGACCAAUGUAAGAUCAAUGUACACAAUUUUUUGUUAUAAAAACACACUGCCCUCUACCCUGCUAUUAGUACUUGUAGGAACAUAUCUCAACUUCCUGCUGAGAAGUCUUUGUUUUCAACUCCCCACCCCCAAGGUAGUGGGUUAUAAGAGCCUUACUUGACAAGACAAUGCUCAGCAUUGGCUGUUCUCUACCCUCUGUCUUCUCAUCUUCCACCUAGUCCUUCCUCCUCUAGUAAAACUACCAGCAACAACUUAAGCCACACGAUGACAUCAUCUAUGUUUCUGGCUUCCACAAUGCAAGCAGCUCAUGAAUAAGUGAAAAUUCACUCACCUUUAAGUUAAAACAAUUGUUGCUUUCUGUAAGUCACACAAAAGAAUACAAACUGCACCAAGAUCAUAACUUUCAGCAAUCUGUUUAUUUUAUCCUCCAAUGAAAAAUUUCAGUAGUCAUAGAAACAUGGUUCUGAGCAAUC